rnacentral:rRNA from 1 species
GACAGAGGGGGCAAGCGUUGCUCGGAAUCACUGGGCGUAAAGGGCGCGUAGGCGGGAUGGCAAGUCAGUCGUGAAAUCUCUCGGCUCAACCGAGAAACGUCGGCUGAUACUGCCGUUCUUGAGGGAUGCAGAGGAGACUGGAAUUCCCGGUGUAGCGGUGAAAUGUGUAGAGAUCGGGAGGAACACCGGUGGCGAAAGCGGCGCGCUGGACCUCUUCUGACGCUGAGGCGCGAAAGCCAGGGGAGCGAACGGG